GACGAACGCUGGCGGCGUGGAUUAGGCAUGCAAGUCGAACGGUAGGAUACCUUCGGGUAUCUGAGAGUGGCGAACGGGUGAGUAACACGUAGGUGAUCUACCCUCAAGAUUGGGACAACCCAGGGAAACUUGGGCUAAUACCGGAUGAAAGCAGCAGUGAUGUUGUUUGAAAGGUGGCGUAAGCUGCCGUUUGGGGAUGAGCCUGCGCUCUAUUAGUUAGUUGGCGGGGUAAAGGCCCACCAAGGCGAUGAUAGAUAGGCGGCCUUAACGGGUGGUCGCCCACACUGGGAUUGAGAUACGGCCCAGACUCCUACGGGAGGCAGCAGUCGAGAAUAGUCUACAAUGGUCGGAAGACUGAUAGUGCGACGCCGCGUGAACGAUGAAUCCCUUCGGGGUUAAAGUUCUUUUAUAUGUGAGCAGUGCUUCUUAUAUUAACAGUAUGGGGAAGAGAUAUUAGCAUAUGAAUAAGCAACGGCUAACUCCGUGCCAGC
rnacentral:rRNA from 1 species